GGAAUCCCGUGAAAUUCGGGAACUGUGCCGCAACGGUGAUGUGAAAGGUUGAACCUUUCACAAGUCCGAUAC
rnacentral:ncRNA from 1 species